UACGAGAGGCCCAAACGUUAUUCGGAUUUACUGGGCUUAAAGAGUUCGUAGGCGGCACGGAAAGUGGGGUGUGAAAUCCCUCGGCUCAACCGAGGAACUGCGCUCCAAACUAUCGUGCUAGAGGGGGAUAGAGGUAAGCGGAACUGAUGGUGGAGCGGUGAAAUGCGUUGAUAUCAUCAGGAACACCGGAGGCGAAGGCGGCUUACUGGGUCCUUUCUGACGCUGAGGAACGAAAGCUAGGGGAGCAAACGGG
rnacentral:rRNA from 1 species